rnacentral:tRNA from 1 species
ACUUUUAAAGGGUCAUGGUUAUUUCCCCUGGUCUUANGAAACCCAAUUCUUGGUGCAAAUCCAAGUAAAAGUAAUG